rfam:Ictidomys tridecemlineatus contig061053, whole genome shotgun sequence.
UCUGGUGUAGCUGAGUGCUAGGGGUAGAGCACUUGCCUAGAAAGCAUGAGGCCCUAGGUUCCAACCUUAGCAUCAUAA